rnacentral:rRNA from 1 species
UGCAAGUCGAGCGGAUGAGAGGAGCUUGCUCCUUGAUUUAGCGGCGGACGGGUGAGUAAUGCCUAGGAAUCUGCCUGGUAGUGGGGGAUAACGUCCGGAAACGGGCGCUAAUACCGCAUACGUCCUACGGGAGAAAGCAGGGGACCUUCGGGCCUUGCGCUAUCAGAUGAGCCUAGGUCGGAUUAGCUAGUUGGUGAGGUAAUGGCUCACCAAGGCGACGAUCCGUAACUGGUCUGAGAGGAUGAUCAGUCACACUGGAACUGAGACACGGUCCAGACUCCUACGGGAGGCAGCAGUGGGGAAUAUUGGACAAUGGGCGAAAGCCUGAUCCAGCCAUGCCGCGUGUGUGAAGAAGGUCUUCGGAUUGUAAAGCACUUUAAGUUGGGAGGAAGGGCAUUAACCUAAUACGUUAGUGUUUUGACGUUACCGACAGAAUAAGCACCGGCUAACUUCGUGCCAGCAGCCGCGGUAAUACGAAGGGUGCAAGCGUUAAUCGGAAUUACUGGGCGUAAAGCGCGCGUAGGUGGUUCGUUAAGUUGGAUGUGAAAGCCCCGGGCUCAACCUGGGAACUGCAUCCAAAACUGGCGAGCUAGAGUACGGUAGAGGGUGGUGGAAUUUCCUGUGUAGCGGUGAAAUGCGUAGAUAUAGGAAGGAACACCAGUGGCGAAGGCGACCACCUGGACUGAUACUGACACUGAGGUGCGAAAGCGUGGGGAGCAAACAGGAUUAGAUA